CCUGGCUCAGGACGAACGCUGGCGGCGUGCCUAAUACAUGCAAGUCGAGCGGACAGAUGGGAGCUUGCUCCCUGAUGUUAGCGGCGGACGGGUGAGUAACACGUGGGUAACCUGCCUGUAAGACUGGGAUAACUCCGGGAAACCGGGGCUAAUACCGGAUGGUUGUUUGAACCGCAUGGUUCAAACAUAAAAGGUGGCUUCGGCUACCACUUACAGAUGGACCCGCGGCGCAUUAGCUAGUUGGUGAGGUAACGGCUCACCAAGGCAACGAUGCGUAGCCGACCUGAGAGGGUGAUCGGCCACACUGGGACUGAGACACGGCCCAGACUCCUACGGGAGGCAGCAGUAGGGAAUCUUCCGCAAUGGACGAAAGUCUGACGGAGCAACGCCGCGUGAGUGAUGAAGGUUUUCGGAUCGUAAAGCUCUGUUGUUAGGGAAGAACAAGUACCGUUCGAAUAGGGCGGUACCUUGACGGUACCUAACCAGAAAGCCACGGCUAACUACGUGCCAGCAGCCGCGGUAAUACGUAGGUGGCAAGCGUUGUCCGGAAUUAUUGGGCGUAAAGGGCUCGCAGGCGGUUUCUUAAGUCUGAUGUGAAAGCCCCCGGCUCAACCGGGGAGGGUCAUUGGAAACUGGGGAACUUGAGUGCAGAAGAGGAGAGUGGAAUUCCACGUGUAGCGGUGAAAUGCGUAGAGAUGUGGAGGAACACCAGUGGCGAAGGCGACUCUCUGGUCUGUAACUGACGCUGAGGAGCGAAAGCGUGGGGAGCGAACAGGAUUAGAUACCCUGGUAGUCCACGCC
rnacentral:rRNA from 1 species